AACAAACGCUGGCGGCGUGCCUAACACAUGCAAGUCGUACGAGAAAGUCCGCUUCGGUGGAUUAGUAAAGUGGCGCACGGGUGAGUAACGCGUGGAUAAUCUACCCUUACAGUCGGGAAUAACUCAUCGAAAGGUGAAUUAAUACCGGAUAAUAUCCCGAUUUCUUUGGCGAUCGGGAUCAAAGAAGGCCUCUGCUUGCAAGCUUUCGCUGAAGGAUGAGUCCGCGUACCAUUAGCUAGUUGGUAGGGUAAUGGCCUACCAAGGUUAUGAUGGUUAGCUGGUCUGAGAGGAUGAUCAGCCACACUGGAACUGAAACACGGUCCAGACUCCUACGGGAGGCAGCAGUGAGGAAUAUUGCGCAAUGGGGGCAACCCUGACGCAGCAACGCCGCGUGAGUGAGGAAGGUUUUAGGAUUGUAAAGCUCUGUCGAGCGGAAAGAAAUGCAUGGUGGCUAAUAUCCAUCAUGCUUGACGGUACCGCUAAAGGAAGCACCGGCUAACUCCGUGCCAGCAGCCGCGGUAAUACGGGGGGUGCAAGCGUUGUUCGGAAUUAUUGGGCGUAAAGAGCGUGUAGGCGGCUGGACAAGUCAGAUGUGAAAGCCCUGGGCUUAACCCAGGAAGUGCAUUUGAAACUGUCCGGCUUGAGUAUGGGAGAGG
rnacentral:rRNA from 1 species